rnacentral:rRNA from 1 species
AUACGGAGGGUGCAAGCGUUAAUCGGAAUUACUGGGCGUAAAGCGCGCGUAGGCGGCUUUGUCAGUCGGAUGUGAAAGCCCUGGGCUUAACCUGGGAAUGGCAUUCGAUACUGCAGAGCUAGAGUAUGGUAGAGGGAAGUGGAAUUCCGGGUGUAGCGGGGAAAUGCGUAGAUAGCGGGAGGAACACCAGUGGCGAAGGCGACUUCCUGGGAUACAACUGACACUGAGGUGCGAAAGCGUGGGGAGCAAACAGGAUUAGAAACCCGAGUAGUCC